rnacentral:rRNA from 1 species
AAAGAAGUUAAAGUUCUAUAAUGAAACUAAAAGGACGCGGUAACCUUGACCGUGAUAAUGUAGCAUAAUCACUCGCCAUUUAAUUGGUGGAUAGUAUGAAUGGUUGAACGAAUAUUCCACUGUCUUAGAAAGAAUGACUAGAAAUUGAAAUAAUAGUUAAGAUGCUAUUUUUAACUGUAAGACGAAAAGACCCUAUAGAGCUUAACUAUAAUCUCUUUAUAGUAAAAGAAAAAAAAUUCUAUAAAUAAAGAGAUUGGUAGUUUAGUUGGGGCGACUGUCUUUUAUAUAAAACAAAGACAAGCAAUGUUAAUAAAAAACUUAUUGUAUAACAAAAAUGUUUAACAAUUAUAAAAAUAGGCUAUAAUGACCCGUUACUACUUAAUAAAAAGAAUAACGAUCAAUUAAUAAAAGCUACCUUAGGGAUAACAGGAUAAUUUCAUUUUAGAGUUCCCAUCGAAAAUGAAGUUUGUCACCUCUAUGUUGAAUUAAGAUA